rnacentral:rRNA from 1 species
UCUCUAAGCAACGGAUGUCUUGGCUCCUCACACGAUGAAGAACGUGGCAUAAUGUGUUAAGUAACCGGAGUUGCAAACAUCAUGACAGGUUAAUCUUUGAAUGCAAAUUGCGCUUACCCGGCUUCGGCCGAGGAGCAUGCGUGUAACAGUACAACAU